CUAGCUUGGAGGACCUAAGAGGCGCGGCCGGGGCCACGCCCCGGGCGGGAGGGCCGCUCUGUGCGCGCCCGCUCUAUGAUGCUUGCGCGCGUCCCCCGCGCGCCGCUCUGCGGGCGGGGCGGGUCUCCGGGAUUCCAAGGGCUCGGUUACGGAAGAAGCGCAGAGCCGGCUGGGGAGGGGGCUGGAUGCGCGCGCACCCGGGGGGAGGCCGCUGCUGCCCGGAGCAGGAGGAGGGGGAGAGCGCGGCGGGCGGCAGCGGCGCUGGCGGCGACUCCGCCAUAGAGCAGGGGGGCCAGGGCAGCGCGCUCGCUCCGUCCCCGGUGAGCGGCGUGCGCAGGGAAGGCGCUCGGGGCGGCGGCCGUGGCCGGGGGCGGUGGAAGCAGGCGGCCCGGGGCGGCGGCGUCUGUGGCCGUGGCCGUGGCCGUGGCCGGGGUCGGGGCCGUGGCCGGGGCCGGGGCCGGGGCCGCGGCCGUCCCCAGAGUGGCGGCAGCGGCCUUGGCGGCGACGGCGGCGGCGGCGCGGGCGGCUGCGGCGGCGGCAGCGGUGGCGGCGUCGCCCCCCGGCGGGAUCCUGUCCCUUUCCCGUCGGGGAGCUCGGGGCCGGGGCCCAGGGGACCCCGGGCCACGGAGAGCGGGAAGAGGAUGGACUGCCCGGCCCUCCCCCCCGGAUGGAAGAAGGAGGAAGUGAUCCGAAAAUCAGGGCUCAGUGCUGGCAAGAGCGAUGUCUACUACUUCAGUCCAAGUGGUAAGAAGUUCAGAAGUAAACCUCAGCUGGCAAGAUACCUGGGAAAUGCUGUUGACCUUAGCAGUUUUGACUUCAGGACCGGCAAGAUGAUGCCUAGUAAAUUACAGAAGAACAAGCAGAGACUCCGGAAUGACCCCCUCAAUCAGAACAAGGGUAAACCAGACCUGAACACAACAUUGCCAAUUAGACAAACUGCAUCAAUUUUCAAGCAACCAGUAACCAAAUUCACGAACCACCCGAGCAAUAAGGUGAAGUCAGACCCCCAGCGGAUGAAUGAACAACCACGUCAGGUGAGCCAGGAAAACAGAAGAUGUGUGGAGCCACAUUGGAUCAGCAUCUUGCUAUAGAUGUCUCAAGAUUUGAAGUUCUAAACUUGCUUUACUGUUGGUCCCCAAGAGAUUCAACAGGGGCCAUCUUUUCUGGGAGAAGAGGCUACAAGGACUUAGCGCAUCAGAUGUAACAGAACAAAUUAUAAAAACCAUGGAGCUACCUAAAGGUCUUCAAGGAGUCGGUCCAGGUAGCAAUGACGAGACCCUUCUGUCUGCUGUGGCCAGUGCUUUACACACAAGCUCUGCGCCCAUCACAGGACAAGUCUCUGCUGCCGUGGAAAAGAACCCUGCUGUUUGGCUUAACACAUCUCAACCCCUCUGCAAAGCUUUCAUUGUUACAGAUGAAGACAUUAGGAAACAGGAAGAGCGAGUCCAACAAGUACGCAAGAAACUGGAGGAGGCACUGAUGGCCGACAUCCUGUCCCGGGCUGCGGACACGGAGGAAGUAGACAUUGACAUGGACAGUGGAGAUGAGGCGUAAGAAUAUGAUCAGGUAACUUUCGACUGACCUUCCCCAAGAGCAAAUUGCUAGAAACAGAAUUAAAACAUUUCCACUGGGUUUCGCCUGUAAGAAAAAGUGUACCUGAGCACAUAGCUUUUUAAUAGCACUAACCAAUGCCUUUUUAGAUGUAUUUUUGAUGUAUAUAUCUAUUAUUCCAAAUGAUGUUUAUUUUGAAUCCUAGGACUUAAAAUGAGUCUUUUAUAAUAGCAAGCAGGGCCCUUCCGGUGCAGUGCAGCUUUGAGGCCAGGUGCAGUCUACUGGAAAGGUAGCACUUACGUGAAAUAUUUGUUUCCCCCACAGUUUUAAUAUAAACAGAUCAGGAGUACCAAAUAAGUUUCCCAAUUAAAGAUUAUUAUACUUCACUGUAUAUAAACAGAUUUUUAUACUUUAUUGAAAGAAGAUACCUGUACAUUCUUCCAUCAUCACUGUAAAGACAAAUAAAUGACUAUAUUCACAGACUGAUUGGAACUUCUUUUGUUAAAGAUUACACACAAAUGGAGCCCCUGGAGAGUGUCCUGCUACACGUUCAGCUUUGACCCGGGCCCUUAGUGUGGAAUUGGAGGUGACAGGAAGUCGCUGGCGUGUUGCAGUGAGCCUGCAGGCUUCUCAGAGUGAGGGCGCUGAUUGCCCCAGAAGCUGCACUUUGGCUUCUGGCACACAGCUUUCCUCUCUUACCCAUGACUAGUACUUUGGAUAGUGCUCCAUAGUGAGGCUCUCAUGUGACAUGAGUUAGGUUUACAAGGACCCUGUAGGUGGUGUCUGAAGCUCCUCUUGUUUUGACUAGAACUAUUUUCCUUUCUAGUGUCCACUAGCUGACUAAGGCAGUAGAGCACGCCAGAUCUGUUGCCACCCUGAGAGGCGGCCUCUUAAGACGUAGCUUCAUGGACCAGAGCGUGAUACUUUGCUAACGAGCAACGUUUUCUUCUGUUAGAAGCGCUAAGCCUAACUUUCUGACCACUUAAAUUGCUUGAUAUUUAUUUACUAUAACUGCCAUUGAAUUACCCGAUGAGUUUUUAAAAUGAAAACAUAUUUAAAUUGAUCAGAGCCAAAGACAAGAGGGAAUGACUAUAAAGAAAUUAAGGGAAAUCAUGAAAAGAGGAUCCAAAAUAAUGUGCUUUUUUAUAGGUACAGUCUAUGUGUCCGCGUGCUGGACCUGUGCUGUCUGGGUGUUCACUUUAAAUGAGCACACAUGCUGAGCUUGCUCGAGUCCCUACGUUCAGGUCUCAGCACCAAAAAAGAACAAAAUAAAAUUAGGCUCAAAGUAAUGUGGUCAAGGUUGUAACCACCUGUGUCCUUGCCACCUGUGUCCUUUAUCCCCAGGACCCCCAGUCCCUUCCUAUUCCCAGGGACAGUGAGUGGCUGGCUUCGGGCUGCUAUGGUUUUGGAACCGUGUUGCCAAACUGUAAAAGUCUGGAAUUUCCGAUCUGAUUACAUUCUUACAUGUGAGCCUUAGGCCCCCAGUUUUACCGAGACAGGCCUGCUGGCGGAUGUGCGGGCAGCUCUGCCUGCUCUGGGAGGAUGGUUGUCAGAGGAUCCUUGCUAGGGGCCCAUCCAAGUGACUCAGGCUGAGUGUGUUGCAGUGGAUAUUGCCAUCUCUUAAAGAGCUAGUCUGCUAUUAGAGUGGCUUCCACAAAGUUGUCCUCCUAUCCAAAGGAUGGCUAGCAUCAAUAGUAACUAUGGCUUCGGAUCUCAUGUCUUGUUCUUUUAGCAGCACAGUCCAAACCAUUUUACAAACUUCCCUACACACAUCUUUUGAAAGCAAACUGACCGCGUACGGUACGUACUACAAAGCUUUAGCAGUGUUACUCUGUAUACUUUGCUCAGGUAGAAAACAAGGUGUGAAAGCCCUCAGAACGUGGCCUCUUAGUGACCAUCACUCAAGGCUGAGAUACUCCAAAAUCAAAUUCAUCGUUUUAUCACCACAUACCCACCAUCAUCUUAGAUUCUUCUACUUGGGUCAAAGUUGACUUUGUUCAGAUGGACAAGGCAGAAAUACAGAAAUGAUGCAGGAUGCGGCUCAUCCCCUUGCUCGUAGCAUCUGUGAGUCAGUCCUGAUAGAAGUGCUGCCAUAGCCACACACCUCAGGCCCUUCCGUUCCACAGCCUCUAAGUUCACAGGACUCUUCUUUUCUCCCUCUGGACUAGGGAAUAGCUUUCUUUUUCUCAGUUCUGAUCCCUGUCCCUUCUCUUUCCUCUCUGUGUCCCCUGCUUUUUUUCCGACUUCCCCAGAUGCCUUUAAGUGCAGCCUCAAAUGUCAGAACGUGAAUUUUGCAGCCAGAGAGCCCAUGUCUCAUCCCAGUCUUGGCAUUCGUGGCUUGUCAGGGCCCUCGGUCUCCAUGAGUUUAUUCCUCCUCGGUGACACAGGAGUAACAAUACCUACCUCAUAUAGAGUUGUGAGGAUUCCGUGAGCUGUUGUUUGCGAGGUGUUCAGUACAGUUCCUGGCACUUAGUGGGUCAAUGCUGUCGCCGCCAUCUUUGUUGCUUCCAGGAGGUGCUCGUGCACAGUCCUGUCCGUGUGACUUUACCUCCAGUACUCGUUCCUCUGUAGAGGUCUGUGUUUGAUUUAUUGAUUCGUUGUCUCUUGAGUAGAAUGUGAGCUCCGUGAGAGCAAGGCUGUUUCCGGGUACAGCCGACACAGUGCCUAGACUAUGGCACGUCUUCAGACAGGUAGUAAGCACUCAUUCCUGUUUCCAAAAAAGGUGGGGGGAUGGAAGAAUAGUCAAAAGACUCUUCAUGGUCUCAUAAACAGCAGUCUCACCCUGUUACGAUCCCGCUGCCUUUCACUUCAAGAAAAGCCACACCACUCGCUCCUUUGAAAUUCCUCCGCUGUGCGCCUGGUCCCCCCCUUUUCCUGCCUGGCCACGUGGCGAGUUCCUGGCCACGGAUAAGUGUCAGCGCGGUGGCUGCCUCGCCCGUGGUGUUGCCUGCCCGGAUUUCUCCAGGCAGACACUCUUUCCAUUACCCAGGUUCUCACUGUCUUUUGUAAAUACCUCCGUGGAGGCAGUUUACUGUAUUGUUAAAAAAAAA